AUUGAACGCUGGCGGCAUGCCUUACACAUGCAAGUCGAACGGCAGCGCGGGAGCUUGCUCCUGGUGGCGAGUGGCGAACGGGUGAGUAAUGCAUCGGAACGUACCCGGAAGUGGGGGAUAACGUAGCGAAAGUUACGCUAAUACCGCAUAUUCUGUGAGCAGGAAAGAGGGGGAUCGCAAGACCUCUCGCUUUCGGAGCGGCCGAUGUCGGAUAGCUAGUUGGUGGGGUAAAGGCCUACCAAGGCGACGAUCCGUAGCGGGUCUGAGAGGAUGAUCCGCCACACUGGAACUGAGGCACGGUCCAGACUCCUACGGGAGGCAGCAGUGGGGAAUUUUGGACAAUGGGCGAAAGCCUGAUCCAGCCAUGCCGCGUGAGUGAAGAAGGCCUUCGGGUUGUAAAGCUCUUUCGGCUGAAAAGAAAUCGCACAGGCUAAUACCCUGUGUGGAUGACGGUAUCAGCAUAAGAAGCACCGGCUAACUACGUGCCAGCAGCCGCCGUAACAC
rnacentral:rRNA from 1 species